rnacentral:rRNA from 1 species
GACGAACGCUGGCGGCGUGCUUAACACAUGCAAGUCGAACGGAAAGGCCCUGCUUUUGUGGGGUGCUCGAGUGGCGAACGGGUGAGUAACACGUGAGUAACCUGCCCUUGACUUUGGGAUAACUUCAGGAAACUGGGGCUAAUACCGGAUAGGAGCUCCUGCUGCAUGGUGGGGGUUGGAAAGUUUCGGCGGUUGGGGAUGGACUCGCGGCUUAUCAGCUUGUUGGUGGGGUAGUGGCUUACCAAGGCUUUGACGGGUAGCCGGCCUGAGAGGGUGACCGGCCACAAUGGGACUGAGAUACGGCCCAGACUCCUACGGGAGGCAGCAGUGGGGAAUAUUGCACAAUGGGCGGAAGCCUGACGCAGCAACGCCGCGUGCGGGAUGACGGCCUUCGGGUUGUAAACCGCUUUCGCCUGUGACGAAGCGUGAGUGACGGUAAUGGGUAAAGAAGCACCGGCUAACUACGUG